GAUGAACGCUGGCGGCGUGCUUAACACAUGCAAGUCGAACGGGAAUUACUUUAUUGAAGCUUCGGUCGAUAUAAUUUAAUUCUAGUGGCGGACGGGUGAGUAACGCGUGGGUAACCUGCCUUAUACAGGGGGAUAACAGUCAGAAAUGGCUGCUAAUACCGCAUAAGCGCACAGAGCUGCAUGGCUCAGUGUGAAAAACUCCGGUGGUAUAAGAUGGACCCGCGUUGGAUUAGCUGGUUGGUGGGGUAACGGCCCACCAAGGCGACGAUCCAUAGCCGGCCUGAGAGGGUGAACGGCCACAUUGGGACUGAGACACGGCCCAGACUCCUACGGGAGGCAGCAGUGGGGAAUAUUGCACAAUGGGGGAAACCCUGAUGCAGCGACGCCGCGUGAAGGAAGAAGUAUCUCGGUAUGUAAACUUCUAUCAGCAGGGAAGA
rnacentral:rRNA from 1 species